CCGGGCCGCCCCCCGCCCCCGCCCCUGCCCAUUGGCUACGGGGCUCAGCCCGCGCCCGGAAUAGAGAGUACCCAAGUUUGUGGCACAAGCAUGUACUGAGCACCUGCCCUGUGGCAGGCACCGUGAAGUCCCUGGGGUAGAGAGAAUCCAGGGACUCCUGAGCCUCUGACAUAUAUCCCAAUUACCCUAUUCUCAGGUCAGCCUGAGGUGGGGCAUGUGCCUGGAUUCAUCUAACAGUGAUUGACUGGAAGCAACUGAUGUUAUUUCUCCAGUGGUG